UACGAAGGGGGCUAGCGUUGUUCGGAAUUACUGGGCGUAAAGCGCACGUAGGCGGAUAUUUAAGUCAGGGGUGAAAUCCCAGAGCUCAACUCUGGAACUGCCUUUGAUACUGGGUAUCUUGAGUAUGGAAGAGGUAAGUGGAAUUGCGAGUGUAGAGGUGAAAUUCGUAGAUAUUCGCAGGAACACCAGUGGCGAAGGCGGCUUACUGGUCCAUUACUGACGCUGAGGUGCGAAAAGCGUGGGGGAGCAAACAGGA
rnacentral:rRNA from 1 species